GCUCCGGUGGCCUAGUGGUCAGACCGUCUGCCUCGGAUGCAGGAGGUAGAGGGUUCGACCCCAGCCGAGUCA